rnacentral:rRNA from 1 species
UACGUAGGGUGCAAGCGUUAUCCGGAAUUAUUGGGCGUAAAGAGCUCGUAGGCGGUUUGUCGCGUCUGCUGUGAAAACCCGAGGCUCAACCUCGGGCCUGCAGUGGGUACGGGCAGACUAGAGUGCGGUAGGGGAGAUUGGAAUUCAUGGUGUAGCAGUGAAAUGCGUAGAGAUCAUGAGGAAGACCAGUGGCGAAGGCGGGUCUCUGGACAGUUCCUGACACUGAGGCACGAAGGCCAGGGGAGCAAACGGG